CAGAGGGAGAGCGAGAGAAGGAGAGAGAGAGACAGAUAGACAGAGCGCACGGUUCCAUUUUCUUCCCAGUCUUCAUCUCACCAUGAACCCACGAUUCAGUCUCUUCUCAACAAAACGGAGCUCUAUUUAAUUUUUUUUUGUUGCUGUUUAUCAUUUCCAACAUAUUUUCGACUGAUGCUUUCCUGAGAGUUUUUUUGCGCACUUGGUGCAAAUGUCUCAUCAUCAUUCGGCUUUUCAGCUGUUCUUGAAUGUGAAAGGAUCCAAACUUCAGCUGGAAAUGGAUUCUCCGAAACAGGCUGCUGUCAUGGAGAGAAAAACGAGCUCCAUCACAUGAUAGACGACGUGCUUCGGUGGCUCAAAGACAGCCAUCAUUCAGUCUGCGGGGCAGAGGAUGUUCCGCAACAGAAAAUACUCCAUGUCUCAACGUAACACAGCAAGCCGCAAGAGGAGAAGCAGAUCACAGCCUGUGGGGCAGUUGGGACACUUUUCUAAGGAAGUGUACACCCUUGAGGAUACUGCAGCUCAAACAAUGACUAUAUAAAUAUAGACUACCAUAAAACAAUGUAGUAUUUGAUGGAGUUCUUCUGUUCGUGAGUACUAAAACAAGCAAUGCAUACUCCUAACAGCUCAGGGCCAGACAGCUGCCUCCCUGCCCAGCUAUGGCUCCCCCUAGCCGUGCCUCCAUAUUUCCUUGUUAAUGCACACCAUAAUGCCCUGACCCUCCCUGCUCUAUCACACACCAAUGACACCACAAUACACCUCAAAACCUCACUUUCUCUGUCUAAAUGUGAAGUAUAUAGUCUCCAUCUGCCAUCCAUCCAACAUUGGGCACCAUUGGCCACAGCAGAAGGGAGGAUUUCUUACCUUUUAACACUGUCUGUAGCUAUGCCUUUCUCUUCAAAGUCCCAACCUCGACAGCCUCCUUCUUCUUCCCAGCAAUCCCUGCAAAAAAGGACACUUCCAUGUAUGUUGAAUAUGUAGGGGUGAUCAAAUUGGACUAAACUAAUAUUAAAGAUCUCAAAGGGCCCCUAAAAUACAGACAUUGCCCCAUUGUCCCCAUAUAUCAUCAUGCUACAAAUUGACAUUUUAAAAUGGCAUGCCAAUGACAUAAAAGAGUAAAUCCCACUCCUCAAAUACAUGAUGUCCCACCCCUAUGGUUUCAACUUAUUUUGGUCCAUCCAGUAGUCAUACAGUUGAUACUGAAGAGCAAUUGUCAGUUAGUGCGCAGCUGAACUCUCAUGCGCUUUCUGGUUCUUUUGUGCGUUUGCCAAGCCCUGGAGCAUCUUUGGGAGGCUACAAAUAGUCCAUUGGUGGUAUUUAUGAGUCAAAGAGACCCUUUUCUUGUGGACUAUACCAUAAAAACUGGAAGGAAAGUAUAUUCAUCUUCGUAGAAUCUAACCAGGCAAAGAGAGAGCUAUGGAUCCAAAUGGACCUCUCCAAAGGAGCACAGGUGCAUCCAAAGGCACAGAAAACUCUUAAGGCUUCAGGA